ensembl:lncRNA
AUCUAAAAUAUUUUUACAAGGAAAAAUGAUUCAUGUCUACUAAGAAAAUCAUCAUAAUAAAUUUAUAUUUACUUAAUUUCUGGGUGAAAUUGAUUUAUAAUGACUAAAUAUUUGGAUGAAUAUGAUUUACAUUUACUGAAUAUAUAAUUGAAAUUAAUUUACAGUUACUGAAUAUUUGGGUGGAAUUGAUUAGCAGUUACUGAAUAUUUGGGUGGAAUUUAUUUACAGUAACUGAAUAUUUGGGUGGAAUUGAUUUAUAUUUUCUUAAUAUUCUGGUGGAAUUUAUUUACAGUAACUGAAUAUUUGGGUGGAAUUGAUUUAUAUUUUCUUAAUAUUCUGGUGGAAUUGUUUUACAGUAACUGAAUAUUUGGGUGGAAUUGUAGUAGUUGUGGUGGAAACCAUGCAGUGUAGCAGCUUAUUAAUUAAAUCAUUUAAGACAUUCUUAGGAACUGACGAACUAAACUAAUUUAAAUUAGACACAGAUUCGUAAACUUCACAGAAACAGUCAAUUCGUCUUCUCUCUUAUCUCAGGACAGUUUUAACCUACAAGGUUUAAACAUCUGGGCAAGGUCCACCCAACAUUCAUACAUUAAUGCCAUGCGAUUAUUCAGAUCUGCGACUGUCAUCACACCUGUCACGAUUCUGCUGAGAGCAUAUCUCUGCGGACCCGCCGAAAAAUGAUGUAUCACCUGUCGACUUAGAAAUCACCAGCAUUUCCAUCACGCACUCACCUUGGAGCGACGGAGCAGGAGUGCACAGGUGUGGGGACUUAUAAGAACUCAUGUCCCCCCCCCCCCUUCCACUGUGUGUACCUGUCAUCUCCAGUGUGUCAAAUGUCAUUAGAGUAGGGAUCCGCUGGACUCCUAGCAUGCACAGCAGCUAGCAGGUGGCUUGGGAAACCAACAUUCUGUCCUUUAUCGUCAGGCAUCAAAGUGCCUCAAUUCUCAUGACAGUAGCUUCCGUCUCCUUCUCCUACAUCUUUAGGCUGAAAACAAAUAUUUAAAAUUUGAAAAAAUGUAAAUGAUCCUUUUACAAUUUCCUCAUGACUGACAACUUGAACAAUAGAACCUAUACAUGCUGUGAAUAGUCUCCAAAAUGGAGCUGCCUGAUAAAUGACAGAUUCAUUCAAGAUUCGUUCUCUUUGAGAGAAACCCUCAUCCCACACAUUUUGAAUACCAUCGAGAGUCACUCCAACAAAUCAAAAUAUGUGAUAGAGUAGCUUUUUUCUCUUUUUGUUUCCUAUUGUGAAAAGUGGACCGCACAGCAGUGACCACCUGCCUACGCAAUGUGUUUCAGAGCCCGAGCACAGCUGCACCAAGAACAUACUUUUGUGAUUUGAAAAAGCAGUUGGGGGUUAGAGUCUAAUUUAAAUUCAGAGGAAGGGAUAUUAAAUAAGUUCAGGGGCCACCUCCAAGGUCUUUUACUGCUUCAUUUUAUUUACUACCUGCUCACUUUAUCUGUCAGCUGGAAGCAGAAUUACGGCCCCCAACUCUAAGUGCUGCCCGGCCCGGCAUAAAGCACAGUCUUUGACUCCGUCCUGAGCCAAAUAUCUUCCAUAACAGACGCAGGCAUAAAACUGAUUACAUUUGUUCACCUCCAGCAUCAUAAAACUGUUACAACACAGCUGACAGAGAUGUUGAGGGACGAUUGCGGAGGAAAAUUUGACAAUAAAAGGUAAUUUUUACAAAGAAGUAUUUUAAGGAAUAGAAUUUAAAGGCCGAAUGGGGAACAGAAGUCUGGAACGAGUGCUUGACUUUAUUGUUAUGGUUGCUUUCCUCAAGUGGCCCAUUUCGGUUGAGUGUCCUUCAGAGCUUGACCUUGGUGCUGUAGGUUGGAGGCUGGCUCCAGCUGUUCCAGCAGAGUUAAUCUCAGGCCAUAAUUACCAAUGACGGGGUCUCAGAGAGGAAGCUGUCCUUUUGACAGAAAUACAGACAAUCUCAACUGACUGGACAAUGGAAGGCUGAAGACAUUUUACAGCUGAGGAGAGAAACAAAAAGAGGAAAUGUAAUGCUGGACGCAAACCUCCCGAUGUACUAAGUGAACAGAGGAGGAUGUGGGUGUGGGGGUAGUGAAUGCAGCUGUGCAGCCAGAGAACUUGUCAUGACAUCUUAAAUGUAUUUGUCCAAGGGUGCAGACAGCUCCUGAGUCAUCUAUUAUUGGCAUGUGGCUCAAGAUUUCCGCUUGCUAGAAAGGUUGAGUAGCUGUAAUUCAGAAGAAAACGUACUAUUCAACCGGAGCACAUAACAACAUUCUGCUAUUUUAAAGCUGCUAUUUUAUUCCCACUAAAUCUUCUAUUUGUUCUGGUUCCUUUACUUAUAAAUAUCUUAAAAGGAGCAGGGUUUAAAUCAAUGUUGUCCUCCUCAGGGAGAAAGAACAGUUCAUAUAGUUGCAUAAUGUGCGAAGAUGCUUCGUAGAGUUCAAGUGACAUGAAUCUCAGAGAAACUUUAACGCAAAGGGGCGCUUCCCAAUAAAUACCCGACAAGUCUCCACAAUUAGAGUUAUUUUCCUACAAUGUAAGCAGAUUAGAAAAAUGGUUGCAUCAGCACAUAAGAUGUAUGGCGUAGAUACAGAUGUUCCUGCUUUCACAGGAUAAUAUAUCCUCUGCGGUCCUGCAGCAACUUAGUUUCUUUGAUGAAUAGAUUCAGCUGUAUUUGGACCAAGUAGGGCUAAGUUUCAGCCUUGUUGACUGAAGCAGUUAUCAAAUGUUGUUUAAACAUUUUAACUGAGGGAUCAGUUUAUGACACAGAACCAGUGGUUCUCAACCUGUGUAUUGAGAUCCCAUUUGAGAUUGAAAGAUACAAGAUAUAAGGGAUAUAAAACGAACACGAGAAGAAAAAAUCCCUAAAACAGAAUUAUGUUGAGUUUUGCUGUAAUUCGGAACAAAGACGUUACAGAUGAAAGUGACAAUUAUUUUACGUUCAAUAAAAGAAGACCCACAAAGUAGCUCAGGCAGAUUAAAAAAAUCUAUGCUCAGACAAUAUUUGCAUUAACAAAUUUAAGUGUAACGUUUAUGAUAUACCCUGUAACAUAUUGAAAGGAGUUUGAAUAAAGUUGUUUUUCUUAAAUGUAUCCAAUGACCUAUCUGUUUAUGCCCUUGACAAGCUUCUGCCUUCUAAAGAUAUCUAAUACAAAGCUUUAGAGAAACGCUGGAUUUUCUUUUGGGAAGAGUUUCACUUUCUUUCUUCUCCAUUGGCUCAUCUACAAAUGACAGUUUUAGUUUUCAUCAAACCAAAGCUCUUCCUUUGAUCUGUUGAUAUUCACACAUGAUUUGAGGCAUUUAUUAUUUCAUAACCGGAAAUUGCUUUAAUCAGGCUUCUGCUUAAAGUUGGGUUAAUUUGCGAGACAUUACUUUUAGGGCUGUCAAUAGAUGAACUAAUUAAUCGCACAUUUUAAAAAUAAUCAAUCGCGAUUAUUGCAAUUAAAAGUUUGCUUUUUCUCCUAGAGAUUAAUCUUACACGUAAUGAGUAAUCACUUUAGAAAGCGUGUAUUUUAGACACUGUUGUUUAAUUGUAUUUUAAAACUACACACAUUUGACCAUCUACAAGGCAGAAUUUCACCAGUUGGAACAUGUUGAACUAGCGACUCUACCUGCUCUUUGCUUAUUAUGUGAUGCCUGUAUUUGAAGUGCCGAAAACAUAUUUGCGCAAAUACCCUAAACCUGGUAAUUUGGCCAAUGUUUGGAGAACCUACCACAGCCAGUUUGAUGAAUCAAUGGUUCAACAUAUUAUAAAUAUGAUAUAUGAUUCUAUAUUUAUGGUAUUAGUAUCAUUGUAUGUUAAAUAAUAUUAUAAAUAUGAUGCUAUUUUAUGAUAUUAGGUAGAUGGAUGAGGUAAGCUGGAGUGGGAGAUGAAGGAAGAUGUUCUUACUGGUAUCCAGUCUCCUUCUUCUUCUCUCUCUUAUUUCUUUGUCUCCUUGUCCUGCAUCUUGAGCCUCAUUUUGUCCAUCUCCGUCUUUUUUUUUUUUAAAGUCAUUCUCAAGGACUGCUUUGUCAUCCUGUAAAUGUUGGUUCUUGGUGAUCAGGAUCUGAUUUCCAUUGGCGAUGGUAUCCUCCAUCUGCCGGAUCUUUGAGAUCAGGCACAAUACAGUGAAAUCACUGGUAGUGACCACCUCGUGGUGGGUCUUCUCUUUUACAAAGCAGCCAGAUCUUCUGUCUCAAUCUUCAGCAGUUUGUGCUCUGCUUCCAACUGGUGGUUGUUGGCCUGCUGCUUAUGCAGCUCCUUUUGUAGAGAAAAGUUGUGGGAGAGUAACCAAGUUACUUUAGACUUAAAGGACUGUUGUUGGUAAUCCUGUUCUUUGUGGAGGAAAGAACAGGCAGUCAUGUAUUUACUGUCAGACAUUAAUGUCAUACAUACAUCAUUAAAUUCAUCCUGUUCUGUUGAUAUCUCAUUUUAGCUGUGAGCGUAAUUGUGAGUAACAAAUGGUGCAUAACGCAUUUUAUGAACGUUCCCUGUUUUAGCAUCAUCACUUUUCAGUCCCCUCAAAACUCCAACCUGUAUUCUGCAGUAAAGUUUUAUGCAUCCUGCCCCAGAGAGCAAUAAGAUACCUUCACAGAUAGGAGGUGUGUGUGUGUGUUUGGGGAGGGGAGGACUUGGACUCACAUGCCACCUUCUCGUUACAUACAAUAACUCAUGGAGUCUUUGGAGAGAUGCCUGACCGUUCCAGUCCCGCACCUACAAUAUAUAUAUAUGGGUAUUUACAAGGCGGGUGACGCAGUGUUUCAAAGGUGUUACAAACCUGGAACUAAAAGUCAUAAUAAGCCGGGGGUUGGGACAGUUGAGUGUCAGAAGUUGUGUGGGGAGAAAGGCAGGACUCAAACGCAGAGUUUUUUCAAACAACAAAAAGGGACUUUAAUAGUAAAAAAAAAAAGGUUUUCAAAAUCAAAAGGCCAAAAAGGCAAAAACGUAGGCAUGAAGCAGAAACAGGCACAUGGACAGGGACUAGGACUUCCAACAAGUAAGAAUGACUCGACAAGUGACAACAGACACACAUGGCUUAAAUAUACUAGGGAGGUGCAGGUGAUUGGAAACAGCUGGAAACAAUCAUGACAUGACAGACAAUCACAGAGAAGACAGGGGAAAGCAGGAAGUUACAUGACCCAGGGAGAACAGAGGCAAGAAACUACAAAAUAAAACCAGACAUGAACCCAAACCGUGACGGUUGAGUGUCUUUUUCAUUCUUUUCCUAUUCUUUACUCAUUGAUACAACCUCCGAGUCCAAGUGUAGCUCUCAUCUUAGUGCUUUUCAGGGAGAAAAACAAAUCAACAUAUUUUCUUCCUGUCAUUAAUGUGAAAGUUGGCCUUUGUCACCUCUUUAACACUCUCAGAGUAUUCAUCACGAAACCAGCAAAUUAAUUUCAACUUUGAAUUCGUACUGCUUGACAUGAAUAAUUUAAAUAAAGAAUUAUUCUGAGUAGCAUAAUUUGAAAUUGCUGUAUUUGUUUGGUUACUGAAAUUCAAUAAACUUGAAAUUGAAUGUAAUAUUUUGGGUUUGGCCUGGCUGAAGAAGAGUUGCUCCAACUGUGGCUCCUGAAGCUCAGUGACCGGAGGAUCUGCCCGUUUAAGUUUAUUGAAAUUCAGCCCCAAAGUAAUUUAUUCAAAUGAUAAUUUUGUAUGUAAUUAUUUAAACUGAGUAAUUCAAUUUCAAAUAAAUAAUUCAAAUUUAGUUUAAAAUGACGAAUGUUCCUUCCAAUAUCAGAACCCCCGGAGAGACAUCGGUGAGAAAACAUCAAUAGAGCAUUUCAGGGGCGAUCAUUAGUCCCUAAACCAGGCUAAGAUUUUGAUUAAGUUAUGUCUAUUGAUUUGUUACCUGUGGUCUGUAUGCCCUAUGAGAUUUUCUGGCCUGCUACUGUUAGGGUUUAGGAAAGCUCUCGAGGGAGGCCUCACUCCUUUGUUCUCGUCCCCGCUGGAAACGAAGAAUCAAAAGAGUCAGCUUGCUUAAAUUCAAAAAUCAAAAAGUAUUCAAUAACUAAACAACGUUAUAAGGAAUACAAUUACAAAGUGAAAUACAAAGCGAACAGUAAAAUAUUUCGCGAAAUAGAGAAUUCUCUGAGCAAGUAAAGCGACUUAUCAAAGCGGCUGCAGGAAAAUUCUAACAGUCCUUUCCCCGCUUUGGUCCUUUGAAAACUCUUGAGGUGUGUCUUCUUGGGUGCAUUUAAAUGUCAUUGGCUUCUUCUUCAAAGUGUCCCCUCCUGGACUGUCCUCUUCACAUCGAGGUGUGAAGCUGCAGCUGUAACCUGAGACCUUCUCUGUACUAUCUGUCCCUCACGUUCCAAUGUAUUCAAUGUAGAUACAGUUGGCUUUAUGCCUCAAUGAGUGAAUAUAACAAAGCAUGCAUAGUUUGUCUUCAUCUUUUAACUACUACACCUUCAUUACAACACAUCAUUAAUGAUCACUGUUCAUCACACUUCAUCAUAAGAUCUAAGACAGUUCAUGUGGUCCAAUUCUAAAGACAUUUGCCUCAGUCGGCUGCCUUACAUUAAGUUGUUCAUUUACUACCUGACAGGAGAAAAAACUCCCAAAAAACCCUCUUUGGGGAUAAAAUUGGGAGAAAUCCAUAAAGGACGGCAAUUAGCAUCCGUCCCCAGGUUUUAACAUCACAUUGUGACAGAAUGUUAAUGUGUACAGUGUUUAUAUGACUUAAAUGACUAUGAAUUGUGUUUGAUUGAAAUUGCAUUCACUUCAUCUAACAUGUUAAUGUAAUAACUAAUAUCUAACAUCACAAACUGCAAUUCUAGCACUAAACAGGAGUCGUCGUGGCGCAGGCGUUAGAGAAGGUGUGCUGGGAAGCACAAGGUUGGUGGUUUGAGUCCAGGCUGCCCCAUGUUCUAUGUCGAAGUGUCCCUGAGCAAGACUCCUAACCCCUAAUUGCUCCCCAGGCAAAAAUGUGAAAAAGCCAUGGGUUUAAAGUGUAAUGUAAGUCGCUUUGGAUAAAAGCGUCUGCUAAAUGACCUGUAAUGUAAUGUAAUGUAAUUACACGUAUUAUAAAUUCCACCACUAGGGGUGCACUUCUGGCUUAAGUCGCACUUCUGGCUUAAGUCGCUAAAACUAAAUACAAAUUAUAAAAAAAUAAAAAUUAAAAAAAUUAAAUCCAUCGUACCGGAUCCCGGAGUUUGUGUCCUUCACACCCCUCCCUCCUCUUCCUCCACAUUUUUUACAAACUACAUGCAUGUUUCUCCACGUUGUUGAUAGAACUUGGGAAUUAUGGAUGUUAAUCCGUAGUGUAAGCUAUUUUUUUUUUUACUGUAAAUCAACUUUACCUUUACAAAUACAGACACAAGAGAAACAUGUAAAGUGUUGUGCUGCAUACUCAAAAGGAGCGUGUAUAGGAGGGGAGACAGUUGAAAAAAAGAAAUGUCGUAGUUCAGAGAUCGACUGCGUGGGGAAUAUAGUGGGGAGCUUCUCCCUCUAAGACCCAACUCAGCAUUACAGCCUGCAGGUAAGACACUCGAGCAGGGCUGCUGUGUAUUUAUAACUUACCCCAUCUCUUAAAAGAGAGAAAAAAUAUCAUCAAGCGAUUAAAAACACCAAAUGCGAAAGAAAUUGAGAGGACGGGAGAUCUGGGAAACCAUUAAACUAAGAAACUCCUCAAGUAAAAGUCGAUAUUCUGUAGAGUCCAGCUGUUCAUUUUUGAUUGGGAUAUCACACAAUGGAAGUAAUUAUCAAUUUACUUGAAAGCAAUCUCAGCUUGCCUGAUUACAGUGCAUUUGCAAUGGCACUGCAACACACAAAUCACUGUAUAAUCCUUCAGAGGUGUAAAUGAGAAUAUUUUGCCAAUCAUAUGCAAUGAUUUCUCAAAAUGCUUUAAAAUAUAAUUUGUUUUACCUUGUUUAUUAAAUUCCUUAAAAAAUCACAGCUGAUUUGCCCAUUCGUAAUUUUCUUCCAGUGAUUACCCUCACUUUCCACAUUACUUUUGAUAAAAACAGGAUACAAGGAGACAAGAUUGUAUUUUUUCUUGGCGAAAGGAAACCCUCAACAUUUCUGCCACAGGGGCAGUCUUCCCACGGAGAGUCUUCACAGAAUGUGAAUCUCCAUCUUUAAGUUCAGACAAAUCCAAGGUUGGACUGUCUAAGCUAUGACAAUGAAUCAAUAGAGCACCCUGUAAUCUCUCUCUUUCUCUCUUUAGUAACCAAGUCUCCUGGAAAGGAGGUAAUGCCUUUGAACACAGAGGAUGGUGCAAUCUCGGACCAAGGACAAUGUGUUUUCUUCACGGUAUUUUAUGGGGGUUGUUAUCAACGCAGCAGGGGCGAAAGUGUUGUGGGAGUGGAAUAAGAUGGAGACAGGCAGACAAAGACAGACAGUGAGAGAGAGAGAGAGAGAGAGAGACAGAGAGUGAGAGAGGGGGUUUGCAGUGAAGCCCAAAAUCAAGAAUCUGUUGAAGGAUCUUGUCAUUUUGUUUACGAAUAAACACAUGCAACUCAAUAUUUUGAAAACAACUUAAAUGUGCAUAUAUUUAAAAGCAGACGAUUUCAACCACUGUUUCAGCUCAAUGACAAUCAAGACAUUCUUGAUAUUAUUUGGGACAUUCUGUACUUUCCUCAUUCUUUGCUUUCUUUGAUACUAACAUUAGUAAUUCCAAAAUGGAAUUUUUUCAAAUAUUUCCUAUCUUCUAAGAUUAUGUUCUGCUUGAACAUAAUAGCACGGCAAACACUUGAAUUCCCCCAAUCAUGUUCAUCUACUUCAAAAAAGGGAAUAUAUUAGGAAAUGAAUAAGUAAAGGCAACACAUUUGGAAGCUUAAUGAUGUUCUUGUGUGAUUGUUUGUAUUUGACCCAAAUAAAUAAGUGAUCAUUUAUUUAAUCCCGUAGUCAUACCUUGCAGGCUAAUAGAACUACUAAUUUCUGUACUGUAGCCUGUGUCCCAGCUUUCAGAGUUGAGUUUCGGAACACAAACAGCUAUUUUCCAUUAAGGUCAGUGACUUAAUUACAUUUCCCUUUUAGAAGGAAUACAAAUUUUUAUCCUUAUUUAGUUAAAAUACCAGCUGGCAGUGUCCAAUGUCUUCCUGGAAAUAAUACAUUCUUGAUAACGAUGAUUAUUUGUUGUUUAUGAACCCAUUUUCCCCUCAAACUGUCUGGUCUACUUGUGCUUCGGUCAGUGAUUUCCUGCAUUUCCCACAGUGACUUUCAAUGGCCUUACAGAAGGGGCUUCUCUGUACCCAGCGGGUUCACAGUGUAAUCACAAACUCAAUAGCUUUUUCCAGUUGAGAAUGACAGUUAAUACAAAGAGGGAUCGAUGCUGCACUGUUCGGUCCCCAGCCCCUAGAAGUACAAACAAAGAAAUUGCUUGUGAUGCUCUAUGAGCACCGCAACUCCGAAACCGACUCAGGAUCCGGACUUCUGUCUGGUUCACAAAGCCUUCAUUGCUCAGCAGUAGAUGUUUACGUCUCAUAUUUCAGCAAAAUGUUGGUACCAAAUGUUUCUGUUCCUGCAAACUGCAGUUUCAUUGAAUUUGAAGGUGUUUUUUUCCAUUUGGGUAAGCAAACACAGAAGGACACUGUUGUGUUAGUUCAUAAUGUAACAUUGUUAACAAGAGCUGGUUACCUUGAGGGAAGAAGACAAAUAAGUUUGACAACUGCGGCGUUACCUCCUAGUGUGGACGGUCGUAACACCUUGAUUGGGUCGUAACAGUCGUGCCCCCAUGACUUGAGCCUUCCACGGUAAAUCACAGACAACAACGAGCUUCAUUAUCCAUCAAUUACAAUGACGAUUAAACCUGUUAAGAGUCUGUUUUUUUGCAUAAUCAGCUGUGUCUAGCGGCGUUAUCAGACGUACAGAGCUUUUCUUGAACUAACCAAUCAACUCCCUGUUUAUACCAUGUGUACGUGAAUACUAACGUGACAUUUGUUUUCAUUCUUCGUAUACGGAUAUUUGAAAAUUAUGCUAAAACAUAUGGAGCGCCGUUUGUAAAAUGUUGCACGUUCUAAAAUCCUGUGCAGUUUUGCUACAUUUAUCAUUAUCAUAUGAACAAAAAAGGACGACAAUAUUUUUUAAUACUUUUUCAAACAUUUAGAGAGAAAUUCAUGUAAAUUCAUCCAAUAACUUUUCCAAGUAUAGUGUUUGGCAGUAACACCAA